GGACAGUAUUAGCUUGGAGGGUUUUGGCAUUAAUUGGUCUAAUCCCCUGUGCAGUCCUACUGUUCGGCCUGUUUUUCAUUCCAGAGUCUCCUAGAUGGCUGG